rnacentral:tRNA from 1 species
GAGGGUAUAGCUCAGUGGUAGAGUGUGUGCCUAACAUGCACCAGAUCCUGGGUUCAAUCCCCAGCACUACCA